rnacentral:misc_RNA from 1 species
UCCGGCUUAUCACCGGCGGUUUCUUUAGAGUGCCCAACUAAAUGAUGGCAACUAAAGACGAGGGUUGCGCUCGUUGCGGGACUUAACCCAACAUCUCACGACACGAGCUGACGACAGCCAUGCAGCACCUGUGUUCCCGUUCCCUUUCGGGCACCCCCGGCUCUCACCGGGCUUCGGGACAUGUCAAGGGUAGGUAAGGUUUUUCGCGUUGCAUCGAAUUAAUCCACAUAAUCCACCGCUUGUGCGGGUCCCCGUCAAUUCCUUUGAGUUUUAACCUUGCGGCCGUACUCCCCAGGCGGUCGACUUCACGCGUUAGCUUCGUUACUGAGAGUGUCAAACCCCCAACAACCAGUCGACAUCGUUUAGGGCGUGGACUAC